rnacentral:RNase_P_RNA from 1 species
ACGAUGAACCAGACUGUCGCUUUGAGUUCAUCUGCGGAUAUUAUCCGGCGGAUAAGAUCCGCAGAUGAACUCAGGGAGGAAAGUCCGGGCUCCGCAGGGCAUGAUGCCGGGUAAUACCCGGGCUCCAAGAUUGGGGACAGACAGCGCAACAGAAAGCAAACCGCUGGAUAAUAUAAACUUCGUUUAUAUUGCACGGUAAGGGUGAAAGGGCGGGGUAAGAGCCCACCGCGGUGGUGGCAACACCACCGGCAAGGCAAACCUCAUCAGGAGCAAAGUCAAGCAGCAGCAGGACGGCCCGUCCAAUGCUGCGGGUAGACUGCACGGAAGCCGGCCGCAAGGCAGGUUCAAGACAGAUGGCAGUCGUAAACCUAAAGGUUUUUGACCUAUAGGUUGUUAACAGAACCCGGCUUAUGGUUCAUCGUUUUU